rnacentral:rRNA from 1 species
GACGAACGCUGGCGGCGUGCCUAACACAUGCAAGUCGAACGGACGAAGGGAGCUUGCUCCCUGAGUUAGUGGCGAACGGGUGAGUAACGCGUGAGUAACCUGCCUUUCAGUGGGGGACAACAGUUGGAAACGACUGCUAAUACCGCAUAAAAACUAUCGGGGGGGCAUCCCUUGGUAGUCAAAGAUUUAUUGCUGGAAGAUGGGCUCGCGUCUGAUUAGCUGGAUGGCGGGGUAACGGCCCACCAAGCCGACGAUGGGUAGCCGACCUGAGAGGGUGAUCGGCCACAUUGGAACUGAGACACGGUCCAA